CAGGUCUUGACAUCUCCUGAAUAGCCUAGAGAUAGGUGAAGCCCUUCGGGGCAGGAAGACAGGUGGUGCAUGGUUGUCGUCAGCUCGUGUCGUGAGAUGUUGGGUUAAGUCCCGCAACGAGCGCAACCCUUACGAUUAGUUGCUACGCAAGAGCACUCUAAUGGGACUGCCGUUGACAAAACGGAGGAAGGUGGGGAUGACGUCAAAUCAUCAUGCCCCUUAUGACCUGGGCUACACACGUAAUACAAUGGCGGUCAACAGAGGGAAGCGAAACCGCGAGGUGGAGCAAAUCCUCAAAAGCCGUCUCAGUUCGGAUUGCAGGCUGCAACCCGCCUGCAUGAAGUCGGAAUUGCUAGUAAUCGCGGAUCAGCAUGCCGCGGUGAAUACGUUCCC
rnacentral:rRNA from 1 species